rnacentral:rRNA from 1 species
GAUGAACGCUGGCGGCGUGCCUAAUACAUGCAAGUCGAGCGAACAGACGAGGAGCUUGCUCCUCUGACGUUAGCGGCGGACGGGUGAGUAACACGUGGAUAACCUACCUAUAAGACUGGGAUCACUUCGGGAAACCGGAGCUAAUACCGGAUAAUAUAUUAAACCGCAUGGUUCAAUAGUGAAAGACGGUUUUGCUGUUACUUAUAGAUGGAUCCGCGCCGCAUUAGCUAGUUGGUAAGGUAACGGCUUACCAAGGCAACGAUGCGUAGCCGACCUGAGAGGGUGAUCGGCCACACUGGAACUGAGACACGGUCCAGACUCCUACGGGAGGCAGCAGUAGGGAAUCUUCCGCAAUGGGCGAAAGCCUGACGGAGCAACGCCGCGUGAGUGAUGAAGGUCUUCGGAUCGUAAAACUCUGUUAUUAGGGAAGAACAAAUGUGUAAGUAACUAUGCACGUCUUGACGGUACCUAAUCAGAAAGCCACGGCUAACUACGUG